AGGAAGUAAAAGUCGUAACAAGGUCUCCGUUGGUGAACCAGCGGAGGGAUCAUUACUGAGUUACCGCUCAUCAACCCUUUGUGAACAUACCUUAACUGUUGCUUCGGCGGGUAGGCGUCCCCUAAAAAGGACGUCUCCCGGCCCUCUCCCGUCCGCGGGUGGGGCGCCCGCCGGAGGAUAACCAAACUCUGAUUUAACGACGUUUCUUCUGAGUGACACAAGCAAAUAAUCAAAACUUUUAACAACGGAUCUCUUGGUUCUGGCAUCGAUGAAGAACGCAGCGAAAUGCGAUAAGUAAUGUGAAUUGCAGAAUUCAGUGAAUCAUCGAAUCUUUGAACGCACAUUGCGCCCGCCAGCAUUCUGGCGGGCAUGCCUGUUCGAGCGUCAUUUCAACCCUCAAGCUCUGCUUGGUGUUGGGGCUCUACGGUUGACGUAGGCCCUUAAAGGUAGUGGCGGACCCUCUCGGAGCCUCCUUUGCGUAGUAACAUUUCGUCUCGCAUUGGGAUUCGGAGGGACUCUAGCCGUAAAACCCCCAAUUUUACUAAGGUUGACCUCGGAUCAGGUAGGAAUACCCGCUGAACUUAAAGCAUAUCAAUACG
rnacentral:rRNA from 1 species